UUCAGGAUAUUGUCAGUAUGUCGUUGCUACCAAGAAAAGGUGGAAUUUAAGGGUCAAGAUUUUGACCUUUUGUCGGGUCAACAGCGCCGCACUUGGAAUUCGUGCCGAAAUCGUCGUUUUUCAUUUCGCCGAGUCGGGAAAUGGGAUUUUGUUUGUAUGCCGUUGCUGCCAGAAAAAAGUCGAUUUCAAGGGUCGCGAAAUUGACCUUUUGCCGGGUCAGCAGCGGCGCACCUAGGGUUAAGAAGGACGAGGGUGCACCCCAACAUGGAGACGGCAUCCAAACAUUAUAGGAUUUUUAUGUUUUAGGUGACAAAAGCUUCGUUUUUCGUUGCGCCUAGCAGGGAAGUAGUAGGUUGCGUAGUUUUAUGCUUUUAUUAAUAUGUUUUUCUUUUUCAGGGAUAUUGUCAGUGUUAUCGUUGCUACCAGAAAAAG